AAGAAAGCAUGACUGUGAUGAAGCAAAGGCACUUAUUAUGCAGCCAGCCCAGGAAUUUCAUUAUGCAGAGUGCUUCUUGGAAGAAUGAGCCUGCUUCCACAGUGCCUGAGUCAGCUGCUCUGAGAGGCAACUUUAGUUUUAGGCAUCAUCUGUAAGCACGCUGACACAAGUGCACAAUCCCAGCUUUAAAAAUGACUAACAUUAGCAUUUUCACCUACACCUCCGAGUGAAAGAAUAAACAUUAAAUAACAGUCAGUGGAACAAAAUACAAGACCUGAGUGGGAGUAGAAGUAAAGUGAGGUGGGGGAGGAGGGAAUAAAGGAGGGAUUUGAAAAGCUCCUCUACCUACUUCAAUUUGUUUAAACCACUGAAUGUAUUUUCAGAUUCCAGCAGUAGCCAAGUUAAAUUAUUCACACCUCUUAGAAUUUUUAUCCUUAGGUUGUCAUAAAACAUUUUGACAGAAUACCAACGUGAAAUAGUGCUGGCAUGGAUUUGAAGACACUGUUAGCAGAAGUUUUUGGAAACAGCUUUUGGGAAAUGAUGGAGACAGUGACAGCCACUUUCUUAAUCUGAAGUUUACUUAAGGUAAAGUGCAAUACCUUCUCCCGAUGAUGAAUCCAAACACCAUGAAGACCAGAAUGAUGGUUCCUGCCACAGCGACUACAGCUAUGA